rnacentral:rRNA from 1 species
AACGCUGGCGGCGUCCUUGACACAAUGCGAGUCGCACGAGAAUGGGGAGCAAUCCCUGAGUAAAGUGGCGUACGGGUGAGUGACACGUGGAUGAUCUACCUUCUAGUGGGGAAUAACCCAGGGAAACCGGGGCUAAUACCGCAUAAGCUCGAGAGAGGAAAGCAGCAAUGCGCUGGAAGAGGAGUCCGCGGCCGAUUAGCUAGUUGGUAGGGUAAGAGCCUACCAAGGCAGAGAUCGGUAGCCGGCCUGAGAGGGCACACGGCCACACUGGCACUGAAACACGGGCCAGACUCCUACGGGAGGCAGCCGUGGGGAAUCUUGCACAAUGGGGGCUACCCUCACGCAGCCACGCCUCGUGAGCGAUGACGCCCCUCUCUGUGUCAAGCUCUUUCGGCAGGGAAGAUUAUGACGGUUCCUGCAGAAGCAGCUGCGAAUAACUACUUCCCAGCAGCUACAUUCAUACGGAGGCAGCGAGAGUUGUACGCAGUUACUCUCAAAAAAAAAAAAAAAAAANUCNUNUUGUCUNAAGUUUCGCCUGCAAUCUCCCGGCUCAACUGGGAGGGUGCGUCGAAUACUGAAUGACUUGGAGUGAGAGAGAGAAAAGUGGAAUUCCUGGUGUAGCGGUGAAAUGCGUAGAUAUCAGGANGGAACACCGGUGGUGUAGACGGCUUUCUGGACCGUAACUGACGCUGAGACACGAAAGCGUGGGUAGCAAACAGGAUUAGAUACCCUGGUAGUCCACGCCCUAAACGAUGCAUAUUUGGUGUGGGCAGUUCAUUCUGUCCGUGCCGGAGCUAACGCGUUAAAUAUGCCGCCUGGGGAGUACAGUCGCAAGGCUGAAACUCAAAGGAAUUGACGGGGGCCCGCACAAGCGGUGGAGCAUGUGGUUCAAUUCGACGCAACGCGAAGAACCUUACCUGGGCUCGAACGGCUGGUCAACGCCGGUGGAAACAUCGGUACCCCGCAAGGGGGUCCAGUCGAGGUGCUGCAUGGCUGUCGUCAGCUCGUGUCGUGAGAUGUUGGGUUAAGUCCCGCAACGAGCGCAACCCUUGUCCUGUGUUGCCAUACCGAAAGGUGGAACUCGCAGGAGACCGCCAGGGAUAACCUGGAGGAAGGUGGGGAUGACGUCAAGUCCUCAUGGCCUUUAUGUCCAGGGCUACACACGUGCUACAAUGGACGGUACAAAGCGCAGCGAACUCGCGAGAGGGAGCCAAUCGCAAAAAACCGUUCUCAGUUCGGAUUGCAGGCUGCAACUCGCCUGCAUGAAGCUGGAAUCGCUAGUAAUGGCAGAUCAGCACGCUGCCGUGAAUACGUUCCCGGGCCUUGUACACACCGCCCGUCACAUCACGAAAGUGGAUUGUACUAGAAGUCUGCACGCUGACCCGCAAGGGAGGCAGCGGCCCAAGGUAUGAUUCAUGAUUGGGGUG